GCUCACCCAAUGAGAGCCUCAAACUCAGGAACUGUGAGAUCAUGACCUGAGCCAAAGUCAGAUGCUUAACCAAGUCACCCAGGCAGCCCUGAUUCCACAAACUUUUAUUAAGUGCCUAGCAUGUGUCAGCCUCAGAGUUGGUGCUAGGGAUACAAAUGUGAAAAAAGUGGUCCCUAUAGAGUUGCCCCAUCUUGCCUGUUUCCUUUUUCCACCUUUUCCAUCUCUUGCUCCUGUGGCCCAUCUUUGUGUGUGUGUCCCAUCAUUAUGGAAUGCAGAGGUUAAAGUUUAUAAUUCUAGAAGUUGAUGCUUUUUUAAAAAAAUGUUUAUUUAUUUGUUGAGAGAGAGAGAGA